ensembl:snRNA U4 U4 spliceosomal RNA
GGCUUUGCGCAGUGGCAGUAUCGUAGCCAAUGAGGUUUAUCCGCGGCGUGAUUAUUUCUAAGUGAAAACUCUGUAGUACUCUA